GCCGAGCCUGCUGUCACUUGCUGGUUCCCGGAGAGUAGGGAGCCAGCAGCCCAAGGACAUUCCACAGCCUCGGGGGCUGCCCUACGGCCUGGUUGCUCUCAGCCCACACUGCUGUUCAGCCUCCAGACAUCCCCAGUGGGAGGGGUCAGAGGCACCUGCUGGCCAGGUGAGCUUCCCAGAUCAGCAGCGCCCUGUCCCCAGCUCCUCCAGGUCCAUGCAUUCCUUGCUCCUACCUCAACGCAGGAGACAGCGGAAGGGGCCCGGCCAGCUGUGCAGGCCAGUCACAGGGCAGCUCCAGGAGUUGGGUGUACUCUGGGAUGUUGCUAAGAGUGACACCAUGGAGACAAGUAUGCCUUCUCACAGAACACCCCUUAUGUCACCGUCAGAGUCAGAAACCCGGGCUGUGUGGACACAGGGAUGACUCCGCUGCGAUAUUCUUGCAUAAAGGUCAUCUGCCAUGUGAUGUGCCUGCUCCCUGUCAUCUCCCACCAUGAUUGUAAGCAUCCUGAGGUCUCCUCUAGAAGCCAAGCAGAUGCCAGCACCAGGCUUCCUGUAUAGUCUGCAGAAUCAUGAACCAAUUAAACCUCUUUUCUUUAUGAAUUACCCUGUCUCAGGUAUUUCUUUCUUUAUAGUAAUGCAACAAUGACCUAAUAAAACACUUUAAGUCAAAAACAGUCAAAGAAGACAAAGAAGGUCAUGACAUAAUUUAAAAGGGUUCAAUUCAGCCAGAGGAUAUAACAAUUCUAAAUAUAUAUGCACCCAACACGGGAACACCCAGAUACAUAAAGCAAACGUUGUAUUUAGAGGGAGAGAUAGACUAUAAUACAAUAAUAUUUGAGGACUUCGACACUCCACUCCUGGCAUUAGACAGAUCAUUGAGACAGAAAAUCAACAAAGAAAUGUUGGAUUAAAACUGCAUAUUAGAUGAAAUGGACCUAAGCAACAUUUACAGAAUGUUUCAUUCAAUGGCUAGAGAAUACACAUUCUUCUUAUCAGCACAUGGGCCAUUCUCCAGUAUAGACCAUAAGUUAGGCCACAAAACAAGUCUCAACAAAUUUUUAAAAAUCAAAAUUAUAUCAAGUAUCUUCUUAGACUGCAACAUAAUAAAACUGGAAAUCAAUAACAAGAAGGACUUUGGAAACAGUACAAAUAUGUGGAUAUUAAACAAUAUGUUUCUGAAUGCCUAUUGGGUCAAUGAAGAAAUUAAGAAAGAAAUCAAAGAAUUUCUUAAAACAAAUGUAAAUGGAAACACAGCACACCAAAACCUAUGUGACACAGCAAAAUCAGUGCUAAAGGUAAGUUUACAACAAUAAACACUUACAUCACAAAAGCAGAAAGAUUUCAAAUAGACAACCCAAUGAUAAACCUCAAAGAACUAAAAAAGCAAUAACAAACCAAAUCCAAAAUUACUUAAUCAUAGAUAAAAAAGAAUAACAAAGAUCAGCACAGACCUAAACAAAAUACAGACUAAAAAAAACAAAAAUCAAUGAAAAGAGUUUUUUAAAGAAGAUAAACAAAAUUAAUUAACUGCUAGCCAGAUUAACCAAGAAAAAAGAAAGAAGACCCAAAUAAACAAAAUCUGAAACAAAAAGGAGACAUUAAAAUUAAUACCACAGAAAUAAAAAAGACCAUCAGAGGCUACUAGGAACAAUUAUAUUUUAAUCAAUGGGAAACCUAGAAGAAAUCGAUGACAUACAACAUACAAAGAUUGAACCAAUAAGAAACAGAAUACCUGAACAGACCAAUAAUGAGUAACAAGAUUGAAUUAGUACUAAAAAGUCUCCCAACAAAGAAAAGCCUGGGACAGGAUGGCUUUACUGCCGAACUUUACCAAACUUAAAUUUAAAAAACAAACACAAAUCUUCUCAAACUAUUCCAAAAAAUUGCAGAGGAAGAAAUUCUUUCUAACUUAUUCUAUGCGGCCAGCAUUAGCCCCAUACCACACCAGACAAAGACACAACAGAAAACAAAGCUACAGGCCAAUAUCCCUGAUAAACAUAGAUGCAAAAAUUUUCAACAAAACUCAGGCAAACUGAAUCCAAAAAUGCAUCAAAAGAUAAUACACUGUAAUCAAUUGGGUUUUGUCCCAGAAAUGCAAGGAUGGCUCAACACAUACAAAUCAAUAAACAUGGUGAAUAUCACAUCAACAGAAUAAAGGACAAAAAUCACAUGAUCAAUAGAUGCAGAAAAGUAUUUGACAAAAUUUAACAUCCUUUCAUGAUAACAACUCUCAACAAAUUAGGCAUAGAAGACAUCAACAUAAUAAAGGCCAUAAAUGACAAGCCAAGAGCUAACAUCAUGCUGAAUGGGGAAAAGCUGAAAGCCUUUCCUCCAAGAACUAAAACAAACAAGGAUGCCCACUUGUCACCCCUCCUAUUCAACAUACUACUGG
rnacentral:lncRNA from 10 species